rnacentral:misc_RNA from 1 species
AUCAACCUUAACAAAUUGUAUCAACUAUUUACUUGCUUGUGGCCAAGAGCCAACAAAUUCUUAGGAGGUUAAACUUGUGCAGAUCCUAAAAACCUAUGCUUCUUCACAAUCGUUUUGUUUUCUAUUUACAGAUGGAAAUUGAACAGCAGAUAUAAUGCACGAUGAGGUUAAUGAGAACGAUAAACUAGCAAUGCAUAAAUAUGUGAAAGAGCAGGAAUAAUAAUGGCCUAUGUUUAACUGAGAUCAAUGUCAACCCGCUCUGGUAUUGCCCUUUCGGUUUGGUUGACACUGAGCUCCACACCUAGCUGUCCCUUAUCGCCCGCGCCAAAUGCAUAUAGCUUACCAGAUUCUGUCAAUGCAAAUGUGUGGGCAUUCCAGUAUAUUGAAUUAGUCAGACUUAUUUGCACCACUCUUUCAUCCAGCUGCUUCAAUGUUGUUACAACCUCAGGGAAUAAAACAUUUGAGUGCCUGUUACCCUGUGCUUCAGCAGCAGCAGUAUUAUGUCCUAGACUAGACGAUUCUCCACAACCAAAUGAAUAAACAUUUCCGUCAUCAGAAACCACAAAAGUUGUAUAGUCCCCUGUAGCAACAUAAACAGCCUUUACGUUGCUUAGUGCUUCCACUACCUUAGGAGCUGAUUCACAAUCUUCAUUACCGUGACCCAAGCACCCAUAACGGCCCCAACCCCAUGUACAGACCCUUCCAUCUUUCCCAACAACAGCAGCAUGCCAAGCCCCAGCUGCAACAACUGCAGGCUGAAUAUUCAAAGUCUGAAAUUGUUCAAUUAACCUCGGGACUUUUUCAUCAGUUCGUGUUCCAUGGCCAAGCUUUCCACCCAAUCCACAACCAACAGAAUAUACAGACAUGCCACUAGGUUGACAAGCCAGAGCAAGAAGGUAGCAAUAUCCUGCUGCAAUUUGUACCACUGGAAUAUUCUCUAAUGCGCCUAAUAAUGGACGGGGUUCCAGAUCAGCUUGCUCAGUUUGAUGACCAAGUUUAGUUUCAUUUCCCCAAGAGAAUGUAUAAACCCUUCCUUCUCUUGAUAAUACAGCAGUGAAGAAAUUCCCAAUUGCAGCUUGUACAACAAAGAUGUCUUUUAAAGAUUCAACCAGCUGAGGAGUUGUAACUACUUUACUUCCUUGGACACCAUACUCAGCUUCGCCAAAUGAUUCUUUCCCAAAUGCAUACACCUUCCCAGUGUCACUGAUCAGCAUAGUCCUGCCAGCCCCUACAGCUGCCUGAAUAACACGAACGCCUUGAAGUGAUCUAAUCGGGUGAGGCCGCCAUUCCUCUUCUGUGGUUCCAUUUCCAAGCUGCCCUGAGCUGUUAGACCCGAAAGAGUACACUACUCCUUUUGAACUCACAGCAAUACUAUGACCAGGGCCAGCUACUGCAUGUGAUUUUUCGCGCCUGGAACAUGCUUCCCCAGCUAGCAGGAAUCUUAGAACAAGCUUCCAGGAGCCCCCACAUUUUUGCUUCAGAUCAUGACAUUGCUCCUGAGUCAUUGGCUUAAAUAUAGCUCUUUUUCGGCACAUAUCAAGAGCUGCCAACUCCGCUAAGGAGAGCUCAUUAUCGGGUGCAAAGUUUGCAGGCUGCCGAAAGAAUGAGCAAGUAGCCUGCAAAACACAUUAUAAAGGAAAUGAG